rnacentral:sRNA from 1 species
GGUUGAUUUGGAUCCUUCUUCGUCUUCUUCCCAGCCUUUCUACCUCUGGU